CUGCCCCGGCCCGGCCUCGUUCAGCUCGCUCCCGCCUUCUAAACUUGCAAAGUUUGAAGUGAGUGGGGCACCGAUUUGGAAGAUACUGCUGACCGAUUGUGACGAGAUGCUAACAACAAAGAAUCCACAUGUCUAGUGGGAGGCUGUGA